UACGUAGGUGGCAAGCGUUGUCCGGAUUUAUUGGGUGUAAAGGGCGUGUAGGCGGGAGCGCAAGUCAGAUGUGAAAACUCAGGGCUCAACCCUGAGCCUGCAUUUGAAACUGUGUUUCUUGAGUGCUGGAGAGGCAAUCGGAAUUCCGUGUGUAGCGGUGAAAUGCGUAGAUAUACGGAGGAACACCAGUGGCGAAGGCGGAUUGCUGGACAGUAACUGACGCUGAGGCGCGAAAGCGUGGGGAGCAAACGGG
rnacentral:rRNA from 1 species